UGGGGAAUAUUGCACAAUGGGGGAAACCCUGAUGCAGCCAUGCCGCGUGUGUGAAGAAGGCCUUCGGGUUGUAAAGCACUUUCAGCGAGGAGGAAAGGUUGUUGGCUAAUACCCAGCAACUGUGACGUUACUCGCAGAAGAAGCACCCGGCUAACUCCGUGC
rnacentral:rRNA from 1 species